GGUGGGAUAGCUCAGUGGUGGUAUGGCACAGGGUCCAUAGCCUGCACAGGGUCCUGGGUUCAAUUCCCAGUACCUCCA
rnacentral:tRNA from 1 species